rnacentral:rRNA from 1 species
AUUGAACGCUGGCGGCAUGCCUUACACAUGCAAGUCGAACGGCAGCACGGGAGCAAUCCUGGUGGCGAGUGGCGAACGGGUGAGUAAUAUAUCGGAACGUGCCCAGUAGUGGGGGAUAGCCCGGCGAAAGCCGGAUUAAUACCGCAUACGACCUGAGGGUGAAAGCGGGUGAUCGCAAGACCUCGCGCUAUUGGAGCGGCCGAUAUCAGAUUAGCUAGUUGGUGGGGUAAAGGCCUACCAAGGCUACGAUCUGUAGUUGGUCUGAGAGGACGACCAGCCACACUGGGACUGAGACACGGCCCAGACUCCUACGGGAGGCAGCAGUGGGGAAUUUUGGACAAUGGGCGCAAGCCUGAUCCAGCAAUGCCGCGUGCAGGAAGAAGGCCU